GAUGAACGCUAGCGACAGGCUUAACACAUGCAAGUCGGGGGGCAGCAUAGAAGUAGCAAUACUUUGGUGGCGACCGGCGCACGGGUGAGUAACGCGUAUGCAACCUACCUAUCAGAGAGGAAUAACCCGGCGAAAGUCGGACUAAUACCGCAUAAAACAGGGGCACCGCAUGGUGAUAUUUGUUAAAGAAAUUCGCUGAUAGAUGGGCAUGCGUUCCAUUAGGUAGUUGGUGAGGUAACGGCUCACCAAGCCGACGAUGGAUAGGGGAACUGAGAGGUUGGUCCCCCACACUGGUACUGAGACACGGACCAGACUCCUACGGGAGGCAGCAGUGAGGAAUAUUGGUCAAUGGGCGAGAGCCUGAACCAGCCAAGUCGCGUGAAGGAAGAAGGAUCUAUGGUUCGUAAACUUCUUUUGCAGGGGAAUAAAGUGCGGGACGUGUCCUGUUUUGUAUGUACCCUGAGAAUAAGGAUCGGCUAACUCCGUGCCAGCAGCCGCCGUAAUAC
rnacentral:rRNA from 1 species